rnacentral:lncRNA from 1 species
CUAUGACUCAGUUAUCUCUAUAACUUUAUCAUUUUAAGGACCUAAUAAUUUUAGAGGAUUUAAAUAAUAUAGAGGAUGAGGUCAGAUGAACCAGCUUAUCAUGAUCCUCCAACUGGCUUCACCAAGUCAGCUUAAGGGAGACCAUUAAAAGGGUUGGUCUAGGAGCACCUAAAUCAGUCACACUGAUUUACCUAGCUGACAUGGGUCAGCUCGAAUUGUCAAGUGAUCCGAUCAAAACAUAAUUUCACCAAGAGGCCAGGUAAGUUCGAUCAGUGGGAGGGUCUGCCAAAGCUUGCCUUAGACACCAUCAGAAAUGGAUAGGUAAGCGGGCUCCCAAUUAAAAAUCACCGAUCUGGUUUACCUUAGACACCAACUAGUUUAAUUAGUUUCGAUUAGAUCAACCUAACAGUUCGUGCUAGACCUCUUAGCCAAGAAUCAAGUCCAUUUGGUUCUCAUUAAAGACACGGACUUGACCAACUACAACCAUUGUAAUUGAUCUAGAGAAUCCUUGACCUAAUCUAAGACAACAAUUGAUUAGAUUUAGUC